CUGGUUGAUCCUGCCAGUAGUCAUACGCUUGUCUCAAAGAUUAAGCCAUGCAUGUCUAAGUAUAAGUAUUAUACAGCGAAACUGCGAAUGGCUCAUUAAAACAGUUAUGGUUUAUUUGAUAAUCGAAUUUUACAUGGAUAACCGUGGUAAUUCUAGAGCUAAUACAUGCUGGUGUGCCUGACUUUUCGGAAGGGCGGUAUUUAUUAGAUAACGAACCAAUAUUCCUCUGGCCUAUUGUGGUGAAUCAUAAUAACUGAUCGAAUCGCAAAGCCUUUGGCUGCGAUAUGUCAUUCAAGUUUCUGCCCCAUCAGCUUUCGAUGGUAGUGUAUUGGACUACCAUGGCUUUUACGGGUAACGGAGAAUUAGGGUUCGAUUCCGGAGAGGGAGCCUGAGAAACGGCUACCACAUCUAAGGAAGGCAGCAGGCGCGUAAAUUACCCAAUCCUGACUCAGGGAGGUAGUGACAAGAAAUAACGGACCGGCCUUUUAGGCUCGGGAUUGCAAUGAGCCGAAUUUACACCCCUUAGCGAGGACCCAUUGGAGGGCAAGUCUGGU
rnacentral:rRNA from 1 species